rnacentral:lncRNA from 1 species
GGCCUCUCCGAGCACCUGCGAGCGGGAGCUGCUCCUCCGACCCGCAGCGGGGCGUGGGCGGCAGAGGGGGCGGUGGACAGGCCUCUCCGCCUCUCCAGGCCGCGCGGAGCCAGCGCUCCGGCUCCAGGCUGCGAGGGGCGCGCGCGGGGCGCGGGGAGGGGGGCGGGCGCGUGCACACGGGGCGUUUUCGGGCGCGCGCCCCCUGGCUGGGUCUGCGGAGGGGCUGUGGGUUCCCCGGGGCUUCCCUGCCCCGCGCCUGCCCGCCGGGCGCUUCUCCCCCUCCAGGACCGCGGCCCACGUCGCCACUCGAGCCCGAGCCCGAGCCCGCGCCCACGCGCGGGGGCCGCUUCCUGCGAGGAGGCGGGGACAGGUGUCCGCGGGCGCAAACAGCGGAGUUUCGUGCGCCUAUUUUUUGGUAAAAGUAGAGGCGAUGCGUUGUUGACAUAUUUAGUGGUUAAAAACUUAUUGCCAAAUUCUCAACAGAUUCCAGAAUUUUUUAAAGUUCACAACACGAGAGUGGACGAAAUGUCGGAGCUUUUGCUCAUAUCCAGAAAUGUGGCCUCUGCCUCCCACUCGGGCCCUGCGGUGCAGACGGGUUCAGGGCGGCGAGGACUGAGCCAGGAGCGCCGAGAGUUCCAGCUGCUCCCAGGCUGGGUUCUAAUUAACGCUGGACCCCUGCUGAGAAACGUGAACAGGCCAAACAAAGCCUCACCUGGCUAUCCCGCCACCCUGGGGUUGGGCCUCCAAAGGCCCGGGAGGUCACCUAAGACACGGUGUUCUGAACAUGCAAGCCCGACAGCAUCUUCUCUACCAUUCUGCCAGAGUCCAGAGACCUGGGAAUAGGUCAUACCCCCCACUGCAUUUUACAAGCUUGGCAUACAUUAGGUUCUCAAUAAAUACUGAAUUAAUGAAAAAAUUGCUGAAGUAACUGAAAACAUCCAUCCAAACCCCACACCAUCUGGUAGAUAAGUAGUCUGUGGGGAGUCCCAUAUUUUUCUUACCUUAGAUAUUUAUUUGGAAAUGGACUGUAGGCCCAAUAUGGUCAAUGAAACUUGCAGAGGAACAUUUCAUGCCUUUAAUUAGUUCUUCAUAACUGCAGGGACCUCUAGAGUUCCUGAAAUUGAACUGGGUUGUAAUACUGUCAAGAAAAAGGAGGACCUAUCUUAAAUCUAUUUCAAGGGUAAUACUAUUUUACUAUGUAAAUUUUCCCCUGGUCAGGGACAGCCUGAUCAUGCAUGGUAGACUCGAAGCAUGCAAAUAUUUCAACAUGCAAAACCGCCCUAAAAAUAUAACCGAAGCUUAUGGAGUUGUCCAGGGUACAGUGGUUUACUGGCCCCUGAAUGCGGGACUCCAUCAAACUGGGUUCCAGGCUGGGAGGUCUCUGAACCCAAUUUCUAGACAGCCUGCUUUGGAGUUCAACUGAUGGGACCUUAGACACCAGCCUUACCCUCUGCAAGUCUUGUGAUUUGGAGCCAGAUACUUGGCCUCUCUGUGCUCCAGGGAGACACCACUGCACCUACCUGAGAGGACUGAAGGAGAGGAUCUGUGCAACUCACUCAGGAUACUGGAUCUUAAGCCAAUGGGUGGACUUACAUUCGUCACCUCUGAUUCUGUCUCCUCCUGCGCGGUGACUUAGCAAACACUUCUUCCUCUCCAGCUCUGCUUCUUACUCUCCAGCUCUGCUGCCCUGUUCCAGUGCUGACGCCAGACAACAGAUAAUUUCCCAAAUGCUUGUAUUAGCCCUUAGGAGUUCAUGUGUUCCUCCCCCAGCCAAUAAAGCUGUUAAAUCCCAAUAACUGUCAGGAAUGGAGCCAAUUGCUAUAAAGUACUUCCAGCUUCUUGGCAUGAAGAAAUAAUUAGAAUAUAUGUGUUGGCUUUGAAACAACACUCACUGGUUCAUUAAAAAAUUCUGUGCAUAUUGUACAAAAGUAGUCUUGGCCUUGGCACUCCCUUAGGUGAACCUUACCCGGCCCUGGCACUCCCUUAGGUGAACCUUACCCGGCCCUGGCACUCCCUUAGGUGAACCUUACCUACUUCAGUGCUUCCUCAGCUCUGAUGAACUGUGUGCAAUUGCGUUUUUGUCGCAAGCUGCUGCUUAAAUACUGUGAAGCUCUUUCCUUAUGUCAGUCUCUCCACCUAUGUUACCAGCCAGCGCCUGAGACCCUCAUAUUAAGGAAACAGUGUGUUCCUAAGUCCUCUUUGAUAUUGUCCACUAUUGACUAUCGAUAGCAAACAUGCAUUGGCCAUGUGCUAAGCAUGUCAUUCCCCAAAUUUUAUUUUUUUGAGACAGUUUCGCUCUUGUUGCCCAGUGUGAAGUGGAAUGGUGUGAUCUCAGCGUACUACAACCUCCAC